rnacentral:lncRNA from 1 species
GAGUAAUGAAGCACAAUAUUAAGGUGAUAGUUUCCGCUAAUGUAAAAUGGCUUGGAGCAAGAUAAUAACGCAAUGAACAUGGUAGCUUAAUGUCGGAGAUGGAAAGAAGACUGAGUUUUGAUGAAGUAAAAGCCUUACAAAAGAGCUUUAAGUUGAACAAGCUAGAUCAAACGUGAUAUUAGAGAUUUUGAUGUUUUUAAGUUUGAGUAUAGUAAUAUCAAUCACUUUGAUUGCACAAAUAAAUAACCCAUUUGAAAUCCUUUUUAUUUUCUUCGAGGAAACCCACUUGAAAUGCAUUAGUUAUGUGAUAAUCUGUAACUACAUUUAC